rnacentral:rRNA from 1 species
AGAGUUUGAUCCUGGCUCAGAUUGAACGCUGGCGGCAGGCCUAACACAUGCAAGUCGAGCGGAUGACGGGAGCUUGCUCCUUGAUUCAGCGGCGGACGGGUGAGUAAUGCCUAGGAAUCUGCCUGGUAGUGGGGGACAACGUUUCGAAAGGAACGCUAAUACCGCAUACGUCCUACGGGAGAAAGCAGGGGACCUUCGGGCCUUGCGCUAUCAGAUGAGCCUAGGUCGGAUUAGCUAGUUGGUGGGGUAAUGGCUCACCAAGGCGACGAUCCGUAACUGGUCUGAGAGGAUGAUCAGUCACACUGGAACUGAGACACGGUCCAGACUCCUACGGGAGGCAGCAGUGGGGAAUAUUGGACAAUGGGCGAAAGCCUGAUCCAGCCAUGCCGCGUGUGUGAAGAAGGUCUUCGGAUUGUAAAGCACUUUAAGUUGGGAGGAAGGGCAGUAAGUUAAUACCU